CACCUGUCCUGCCUGGAAGGCCAGGUGUUGACCCUCAGCCGGGCCAUUUCAGUAGACUGCCAGGGAGCUGGAGGGCGAUCUGGAGGCUGAGUGGGCGCCACAAGGAUCAGGAGGAAAUGCAAUGAGACCACACAUUUCCGGAUCUGGCAGGGAAAUAAGAGGAUGGUUACUGGGAGGGGGCCGGGCAGCGAAGACACGGGAGACGCGCGUGGGUUUGCAGGCGCCUGGGAAGAGCCUGGGAGGAAGCAGCGGAGAAUCGAGAAGGAGGGCACGUCGUGGGCGUGCACCCAGCUGGGUGGGAGAGUCUGAUGAUGAGUCAGCGCUCGGCAAACCCAGCGGGUGAGAGAAGGGGAGGCGGCGCCGGCUGCGUGGCUAGGGCCAGGAUCUGGGCUUCCUCCCUCCAAGUUCACGCUGGGGUUGCUCUGGAGAGGAGGAACGAUCGUGGAGGAGGCUCAAGCCACUAAACACAGAACCGCAGCACAGCCUCCGGCCUCCCGCUCCUUGCAAUAGGCUAAGUGCUCUCUGGGAUCUGGGAGACCUCGGAGAACUCUGCCCUGGGCUUGGAGCCCAGAGUGAAGCCACCAGGGAGGGACUCGAUGGGGGAGGGUAGCUCAGCUUCUGCCUCUCUUCCCUACAAGGUUCCUUCCCUCUCCAAGGACUGUUAUUACUUCAUUUUGAAGAUGUGAGUCCACUUUGUGCUUUGGACCCCUUUGGCAGGCUCAUGGAACCUGUGGACCUUUUCUCAGAUUAAAUGCAUAAAAUAAAAUACCUAGGUUUGCCACAUAUAUGGGAGUUUUGCUUGCAUUUUCCCGAUUGAAUCCACGGGUUCUACCACUUAGCUCCAUCCCCAGACCUCUUCUUUUUUUUUUUUUUUUGAGACAGGGUCUCACUAAGUUGCUGAGGCUGGCCUUGAAGUUGCUAUCCUCCUGCUUCAGCCUCCCAAGUCUCUUAGAGAUUACAGGUGUGAGCCACCAAGCCAGGCCAGUGUAUACCUCUUUACAAAGUGUUAAAGACCUAGCCAGGGUCCAUUUCAAAGUGGUGAUGAGCUAUGUGAAAAACUCUAAUGUGAUGUAAAAAUGUCAGUGAUUUCUGGAGACAAAGUCACAGGUUCCCCUUCCAACUGUGGUUGCUGCUGACUGUCACAAUGAAAAGAAUGCUCAGUUUGGUGGACCUUACUGAAAAUAAAGAUGUACCUUCU
rnacentral:lncRNA from 1 species